GUGAACGCUGGCGGUAGGCCUAACACAUGCAAGUCGAACGGCAGCACAGUAAGAGCUUGCUCUUACGGGUGGCGGGUGGCGGACGGGUGAGGAAUACAUCGGAAUCUACUUUUUCGUGGGGGAUAACGUAGGGAAACUUACGCUAAUACCGCAUACGACCUGCGGGUGAAAGCAGGGGAUCUUCGGACCUUGCGCGAUUGAAUGAGCCGAUGUCGGAUUAGCUAGUUGGCGGGGUAAAGGCCCACCAAGGCGACGAUCCGUAGCUGGUCUGAGAGGAUGAUCAGCCACACUGGAACUGAGACACGGUCCAGACUCCUACGGGAGGCAGCAGUGGGGAAUAUUGGACAAUGGGCGCAAGCCUGAUCCAGCCAUACCGCGUGGGUGAAGAAGGCCUUCGGGUUGUAAAGCCCUUUUGUUGGGAAAGAAAAGCAGCAGGUUAAUACCCCGCUGUUCUGACGGUACCCAAAGAAUAAGCACCGGCUAACUUCGUG
rnacentral:rRNA from 1 species